CUACGGGGUGCUCCAGUGGGGAAUAUUGCACAAUGGGCGCAAGCCUGAUGCAGCCAUGCCGCGUGUAUGAAGAAGGCCUUCGGGUUGUAAAGUACUUUCAGCGGGGAGGAAGGGAGUAAAGUUAAUACCUUUGCUCAUUGACGUUACCCGCAGAAGAAGCACCGGCUAACUCCGUGCCAGCAGCCGCGGUAAUACGGAGGGUGCAAGCGUUAAUCGGAAUUACUGGGCGUAAAGCGCACGCGGGCGGUUUGUUAAGUCAGAUGUGAAGUCCCCGGGCUCAACCUGGGAACUGCAUCUGAUACUGGCAAGCUUGAGUCUCGUAGAGGGGGGUAGAAUUCCAGGUGUAGCGGUGAAAUGCGUAGAGAUCUGGAGGAAUACCGGUGGCGAAGGCGGCCCCCUGGACGAAGACUGACGCUCAGGUGCGAAAGCGUGGGGAGCAAACAGGAUUAGAUACCCGAGUAGUC
rnacentral:rRNA from 1 species